UCGUGUCGUGAGAUGUUGGGUUAAGUCCCGCAACGAGCGCAACCCUCGUUUUUAGUUGCCAUCAUUAAGUUGGGCACUCUAAAGAGACUGCCGGUGACAAACCGGAGGAAGGUGGGGAUGACGUCAAGUCAUCAUGCCCCUUACGUCUUGGGCUACACACGUACUACAAUGGUCGGGACAACGGGCAGCAACUCCGCGAGGACAAGCGAAUCCCAGCAAACCCGGCCUCAGUUCAGAUUGCAGGCUGCAACUCGCCUGCAUGAAGGAGGAAUCGCUAGUAAUCGCAGGUCAGCAUACUGCGGUGAAUUCGUUCCCGGGCCUUGUACACACCGCCCGUCACACCAUGGGAGCUGGUCACGCCCGAAGUCGUUACUCCAACCUUUCGAGGAGGAGGAUGCCUAAGGCAGGGCUAGUGACUGGGGUGAAGGCGUAACAAGGUA
rnacentral:rRNA from 1 species